GUUAAACUCUGUAUGUGCAAUGUUUUAUAGCAAAAUGCUGCACAUACAGACUCCAAGCACCAUGAUCACUUUAAAUCAGUACAGUGGUUAUGGUGCUUGGAAUCAAUUCAAACUGUGAAGGCCUGUGUUCCCAAGGUCAUUCUCAGUGGGCCGAUGUGGUUCAAAAAAUGCCCAGGCAGAAUAUUGUCCCCAGUCCGGUCCUGCUAAAGAGCCAUACGUC